AAGUCGUAACAAGGUUUCCGUAGGUGAACCUGCGGAAGGAUCAUUAACACUUUUGAAAAGCAUCCAAUAUCAACAAAUCACAACCAAACGGUCAACUAUCUCCUCCCUAUUUCGCACACCGGAGACGGUACGAGUAGGCUAACAUGUCAAUAACAAGCUCAAGCUCAAGCAAUUGCGCAUGCGCAUGUUAUUUUCAAACACAAGCUAACCCCUUUUAAUUAUAUUAUUCAUUUAAUAUAAACGAACAACUCUUCGAAUUUGCCCUUCAUUUUCAAUGAAGAACAAAAACGAACUAAACUAAAAUAUACAUUCGAUAUAUUUUUAUUUUACGAAAUAAUAUAUAUUUAUAAGAACAACUCUUAGCAAUGGAUAUCUUGGUUCUC
rnacentral:misc_RNA from 1 species